CUCUGACCCUGACCUCUCCCCAGGGAUUCCAGGGAUUCCCUGAUGGGAGAGGUGUACUUCCCAGGGGUCACUGGUUUUUUGCCCUGUGCAUGGGAGUCUUCUGCUUUCCCUGUUAUCCCCAUUAUCCACUUCUUUCCUGUCAGCGCUUAGGAACCCAACCCUCACUUCCACUUCACUGUGGAAGAGAGGCCAUGUAUCAGUUUGUCCUCACACUGCUAUAAAGAAACGUCUGAGAAUGGGUAAUUUGCAGGAAAAGAGCUUUAAUUGGCUUCUGCAGGCUGUAGAGGAAGCAUGGCAGCAUUAGCUUCUGGGGAGGCCUCAGGAAACCUACAGUCAUGGUGGAAGGCAAAGGGCAGAAUAGAAGGAAGAGAGUGGUGGGGGAGGGGCCACACACCUUUAAACAACAGGGAUCUCACAAGCACUCACUGUUGUGACGACAGCACCAAGGGGGAGGGUAUUAAACUAUGAGAACCGCCCCCCCCCCCAUGAUCCAAUCACCUCCCACCAGGCCCCACUUCAGACAUUGGGGAUUACAAUUUGCCAGGAGAUUAGGACAGGGACACGGAUUCAGACCAUAUCAGGCCAUAUGAGGGCUGGUAUCUUCUGGCUCAGGGUUUGUGGAAAUGAAGAAAGAGGAGCAUGGAAGGAACAGGUCUUCUGUGCGGAGAGCCACGCACUGUGUGGGUGAGACUGAGCCGUGGGAAGGUGGCCAUAAGACAGGUCAAAUAUAUAUCUUCAGGCUUCUUAGCAGGAAAAGAGAAACAAACAUUUCAUGUACCCAAUUUACAGUUUUCUAUCAAUACAAACAGAUUGGCUGCUGUUCAGAGGAAACUCAGCUACUCCAGAUGUAGAAAUCUCAAAAAGGAAACUUUGUAGGUGUGUUGGGAAGAGUGUUAGCCAACCUUUAUAAACACAGUGUUGAUCUUCCUGUGUGUCUGUUUUGUAGAGCCCUGAAAUGCUAGCUGAUGAGUAUCUCCAAAGGAUAAUUGAGUCAGUACAGUUCCGUGAAGGGCCAAGUAUGCAGGGCUGA
rnacentral:lncRNA from 13 species